UACCCCCCAAAGCUCCUCUCUUAUUUCACCUCAACAACAACUAAACACAAACUCUAGAAAAUUACUCUCAUUUCACUUCUCAAACUCCUUCCAACAACUAAACACAAAACUAUACCGAUUUUAUAUGCAUCAAACAAAAAUUUUUAACUAGCACUGAAGACAAAAUCAAUCAAGCCAAAAAAAAAAAAAAAAGCUCAUUAAGGUUAGUUUUUUUAAAAAAAUUUAGAUUGGAAGAUUAAUUAAGUUUUAUCUAUGGGUUUUGUAGAUAUUUGAAGAAACAAAUAUCUUUAAUAAAUUUUAUUACAAUGUGGGUAGAUAUUUGUUUGUGUGAAUCCCAAAAUUAAGAAAAGUCUGGUAAAUAUUGUAUUUCUAUGAAUUGUAGAAGAAAAUCCAAUCGCGGGCAAAGGUUGCCAUCGCUCGCCCUUCUCAUGGGCUAAGGGCGGGCAAAGGCAUGCAUCGCCCGGGCGAUGGCACCCUUCGCCCGCACUUCUCACGGGCGAUACAAGCAGGAAGCGCAGGCGAAGGCAACCUUCACCCAGGCGAUGGAACCCUUCGCCCGUACUUCUCACUUGUUUAAAUUUUUUUAAUGUUAAUUGUUUGUUGUCAAUGAUAUUUUUAUAGAAAUAAAUUUAUUGUUUUAGUAAUGUAAUUAUAUUUAUUUUAAUUUGCUUCAGGUUUAAUGGAACCAACAAUUGUGCUUAAGAUGUGUUAUGAUGGAUUAUGGGAAACGUUUGUUGAUGGUCGUAUGAAAUACAAGAAUGGAAAAGUUAAAGCAUUUUUACUUCGAAAUGAUGCAACUUUCGAACAAUUUAUUGCUAGGAUAUAUCAAGUGUUGAAGUUAAGUUCAAAUGAAUAUUCUAUGACAGUGAAAACAGUUGGGGCACAAACUGUCCCAUGUAACCCACUGCUUCUUUACCAAUGGAUAUACUAGAUGAUGAAAUGGUAAACGUUAUUAUACGUAUGAAUUUUGAUCCAAUAAACUAUGGUAGGAUUCCUAUUUUUGUAACUACAUUGCCUAAAGUUACAAUUAAAGCUCCUUUAAUGCCAUCUCAACAAAAAUAAGCUCCUUUGAUGCCAUCAACCCAAUCUUCAGCCUUUGAAUGCACAUUUGACUAUAGAUCCACGCCAAAUUAUGGUAAUGACUUCUUCCAUGAUACUGGAGAACAAAGGUUUCCAACUACGGAAAACUACUCUCUAUUCCGUGACUGCGAUGACGUAGAUUGCGAUCGUCCAUUGGAUGAUAUGGAAGCAAUGCCUCAAUUUCAAGAAGAUAAUAAUUCACAUAGCCGAAGUCGGCCUCCAGUAUCAACUAUAAUUGACUCGCUACAAUUGAAGGUUCCAGUUAUGCCACAGAUUAAGUAGUUUCAGAUUCACUUACAGUUGGAAGUUCCAGUUCAAGUGGUAUUUAUGUUGGGCAGCUAUUCAACACGAAAGAAUGGUUAUACACGGAGCUUGGCAUUGUUGCCAUUAGAGAUAAGUUUGAGUUCAAGGUGGAUAGGUCCACAAACAUAUGUUGGGAGGCUUGUUGUGCUGUGAAGACAUGUAAAUGACGACUUCGAGCAAUGAGGGCGAAUAACAAGGAGAAUGUGCAAUGGCUAGUGAAGAGAUAUGACAUGGUGCAUGCUUGUCAAAAUGAUAUUUUUCAUAAUGGUCAUCGUUAAGUAAACAGUCGGGUUGUCGAUGAAAUUAUCAAGCAAAAGUUUGUUGAUGCCAAGCGAAUAUAUACUCCAAAGGAUAUCAUUUCAGAUAUGAAGAAUGAUUAUGAAAUUAAUUUAUCAUACCAGCAAGCAUAUCGGAGUAAGAAAAAAGCUUUGAAGUCGAUAUGAGGAGACCCGGGAGAGUCAUAUAAUUUACUUCCCAAAUAUAAAAAAUAUAUAUAUAAAAGGAGACCCGGGAGCCAUCGCCCGUAGCAUGUGCGGGCGAUGGCUCCAUGACCGGGCCACCUAAACCCAACAUAAAUUAAAAAAAUAAAAAUAAACUUAUGAAAUGAGUGUAAACUUCAUAUUAGUAAGUAGCAUUGGUAUUAAAGAGUGGAUUAUUAGGAACUAGUUCAACAAAUUUAUUGAGAUAAUUGAAUAUUAUUUCUUAGAGACAUUUUAACGACCUAAUGUGCUUAUAUUUUGCAAACAUUAAUAUUUAAAAAUCCUUGAAUUGUCAUGCCAAUAUAUAUCCUAAUGUGCUUUUCUAUCAUUAAUAAUUCACCAAUCAAUUAAAACUUAUUGUAAAAGUGUAAGGGAAGCAUACCUUUAAGUCGAAUCCUGAUGCAGUUAACAAUGUACAACCUUUUUGCUAAUGGAGGCUAUGCAAAUAGGGGCUGUGAUUGUGAGAUUGUGAUGAUGGGGCUGUAGAAAGAAAUUUCGAGAUAACGGGCAAUGAUGGGCGAUGUUGGGCAAUGCGUGAGUUAAGUGAUUUUGACAAUGGUCUUUGGAGAGGGGGUAAUUUAGUCCAUAAGAGGUGUGUGUGGUUAUUAUUGUAUGAAUUUUUGCUCUAUGGCUGGUUGUGAUAUUGAGUUUUUGAAAGUGGCUAUAUAAGACAAUUUCUCAACUAAAUGAGGCAUCAUUGCUAUUGUCCUGGGAUACGCAAGUAUUUGAAAUUGAAUAUAAAAUUAAUAUUUUUAAUAUUUUUUUUUAAUACUGACUACACAUCAAACUAUUAUAUUAUAUAGAUAUUUACAACUACUGUAAUUAUAAAUUAUUACACAAAUAUUUACAAUUAAACAUAUAAAUAAGAAUUAUAUUAUUGCAUUAAACGAUUUUAAUAUUUCAAGCUUGCUUUGUGGUUCUAAUUUUGACGUAUGUCUUCGAAGAGAACUGACUGAUUGUGAAGUAUGAAUGAAAACACAUUAUUAAAUGUGUUGUCGUGGCUUUCGAAGAAGAAGACGCCGUUCUGUUUAUUAAAUCUGAUUGAAGAAGAAUAUUUGGUAGAAUGCCUGAUAGAAGUUCCAGCAAAAAAAAUAUCCCCUUCAAUCUCUCGGAGUGGAUUAUAUGAUUCAGUACGGAGGCAUACUGGAACACAUUGGCAAAAGGGGCAGUGGAUGGAAUACUUCAUCAUCCCUGCUAGGUUUUGCAACUCCUAGAUUAUGUCCCCAGAUUUAUCUCGGUUAUAGAGUGCUGUAGGAUGAACAUGCUCUUCUCACGUUCUGCAAUUCAUAAACAUUUGCUUCUGUUACAAUUCUAACUCAAAUUCUCAGAUUUUUUUUAAAAAAAAAAAAAAAAAAGAAGAAACAGAAUGCUUGAAUUCUUCAAAAAUUGUAAUGAAACAAUUAUUUUGACCCUGCGAGUAAUUUUUCAGUCACUUGAAACUGGAGAGCAUAAACAGGAGCAAGACGGCAGGAUAUUUUGAAAAUUAAAUAGGAGGACAAAUAAUAGACAGAGAAAAUGGGAAAAGAAAACCAAAUCAGCCAUUUAUAAUGUUUGUUUUAGUGAACAUUAAUCAUUUAUAAUGUUUGUUCAGUGAACAUUAAAUAAUUAAGAGAAUACAUUUCAAUAAUAAUAAUAAUAAUCACGAGAGUGUCUUUUAUUGGCUUUUAAAUUUGCUUCUUCUUUCCUUCUAUUUAAUCUUCAUUCCUAGUGAUCACCCAGUUUCAUUAAAACUUCAUUUCAAUUAAUGUUUCUUUAUGUAGGUACAAAUUCUUCACAAAUUACCAAAUAUUCUGAGAUAAAAAGAUAUCCAAAAUGAUUCAAGCAAUUUCUAAGAAUAAAGUAUAACAAACUUCAAAAUAACUUGAUAUUUAAGAGAGUUGUCCUACAGCUUAUAUUAGCCUCAAUUCAAGCACUUAUAGUCAGGUCCAGUACAAAGGCAUACUGGAAGUUCUGAAAUGGAAUUUCAAACCCAUCUUUACAAUUUCUUAUAUUCAGAGUUCUCACCAGAAAUACUGAGCGGCGGAAUUCAAUACCAAGUAACAAAUAUACAUACUCAAAUGCAAGAUUUAAAAUGCAGCACCACUGGCCCCAAUAGCAAUAGUGCGAAAACAUAAGAUCACAUGAUUUGAACUGAAACUCUAACCUUAAAGCGAUCGUGCAAAUGGAAUAUGCAUAAGUGGUACUGACCUGAAAAAGAUGAUAAAACCCUUUCGGAGUUGCUUACCCAACCGACUCAGGCUCAGUCUCCAUUGCUUAGCUCGGUCAUUAAAGACCAUGUCAACAGACUAAAGCAGUACAUACAGUGAGCUGCUUCAUGAAAACUACUGAUCUGCUUAAAAAAACUGUGCCAGGAAUUUCACAAUUAAUCCAAAUGGUCAGUUUGAACAAACAGUCCCACAGUUCGAGCUAGCACUCACACUUGUAUACACAGCAAGCACAACGACAGCUACUAUCCAUCUCGCAGCCUAUCAAUUUGCUGCAGAUACCUGUCUUCAGUUUUCCAAACACGGUUUUCUAAUCUCCAAUUUUUAAAAUAUAUAAGAAACAUUCCCUUUCAUUCAUCAAACCUAGAGGUGGCAUCUACAUUGGAGUUUUGAAUGGUCUUAUUGCCAGCAUUUCUCAUUUCCAUCGCUAAUCUUUCCAACAUUUCAUAUAUCUUAUGGCUCUGAGGAUGCUCUUGAUCCUUAGAAGCAAAACGGUUCACAUAACCUCCAACAUCAAUCCAAGAACAUCCUACCUCUUUCCUCAACCCCCUCUCUCUCAUCUCUUUCCUUACUUUAUCCACAUUUUCCCAGUUACCUUCUUCUGCAUAGAUAUUGGAGAGCAGAACAUGAUAGCCUGGCAUACUGUUUCUUGUAUCCAUUUCAAGCAACUUCUUGGCGACAACUUCUGCUAAUUCAGAAUGACCAUGAAGUCUGCAGGAUCCAAGAAGUGAACCCCAAAUUUCCAACACAUUUCCUUCUUCACCAAGUUCUUUAACAAACUCAUAUGCUUCAACCACUUUCCCAACCCUCCCCAACAUAUCUGCAACACAACAGUAGUGCUCAGUUGAAGGCUGAAUCUUGUAUUCUUGCUGCAUCAGGUCAAAUAUUUGAAGACCUUCAUCAACUAAACCAGCAUAACUGCAGGCUGACAAUACCGCAACAAAGGUAAUAGCAUCAGGUUCAAUUCCACAUCCUUUCAUUGAGCGAAACAAAGAGAGAGCUCUCUCGCUCAUCCCAUGUUGGCCAUAACCCAAUAUCAUUGUGGUAUAUGUAACAGAAUUUUUCUCAGGGAUUUUAGCAAAAACAUUUGCAGCAUAAUUAAUUACCCCUGACUUGGAAUACAUGUCAAUAAGGGAAGUACCAACAAAGACAUUUUGGUCCAACAAAUAGCGAAUAGAGAAUCCAUGGAGUUGUUUCCCCAACUCUAUAUUUCCCAUGGGAUUACAAGCUGGGAGAACUGAUGCUAUAGUCACAACAUUGGGAGUUACAUUAUGCUCAAGCAUCUGUCUAAAAGCCACAAAAGCUUCCUCAAGCAGUCCAUUUUGGGUGUACCCUGCAAUCAUAGCAUUCCAAGUGGCUUGAUCUCUGUCUCCAGAAUCGUUUUUCUCAAAAAUUUGUCGUGCAGUCUUAAUCAAGCCAGAUUUUGCAUACAUGUCUAUAAGAUAACUUUCCAUUCCUUCAAAAUGAAUGCCAUGCCUAAGAAGAAAAGCAUGUGUCUGCUUUCCAACAUCCUGAUUUCGAAGGUUUGAUGCUGCUGAAAGCAAAGCAGUUACAGUCACAGAAUCAAUCAUAAAUCCUUGUUUCUGCAUCUCAUACACAAGCAUUAACCCUUCAUCAUCCAGUCCAUUCUGCACAAAAGCAGAAAUCAUAGUAUUCCAAGAAACAACAUCUCUUUCCUGCAUCUUCUCAAAAACUUUAAAUGAUGUAUGGAUACUGUUGCACCUUGAAUACAUGACAAUCACGGCAUUAAGAACAAUAACCGGCAAUGCCACAAAAUUCUUAAUUAUAUAUGCAUGCAGCUGUUGACCCAAGUCUAAUUCCUGCAAGUGUGAAACCGCACUUAAAGCUGACAGGAAAGUCACAUCAUCAAAAACAAUCUCGUCUAACUCCAACGCCUGAAUGAAAAGCUCAAUAGCUUCAACAGGACGAUGAUUCUGAACAUAUCCACCAAUCAUAGUGUUCCAAACCUCAGUAUUCCUCUCCAAACAAAUAUCAAAAAUCUUCCUCGCAAAAUCAAAACAACCAAGCUCAGCAUACAUGAAUAUCGCUGAACUAGCCACAAACAAAUCAUUCACAUAUUCACUUCCAAGCUUAACAAGCAACCCAUAAACAACAUCAGCACUCUUGUAAUCGCCUAAACUUGACAAAGCAGGGAAAACGUUAACGAAACUAAUGGUACUUGGUCUAAUUCCCAUUCUCAACAUCAUCCUAAAUUGCCUAACUGCCUCAAUAUAUCUCUCAGUUUUUACAUACCAUGAAACAAUUGUAUUCCACGCAACAACAUUCCUCCUUCGCAUUGUAUCAAAAACUUUACAAACUAAAUCAUAUUUCGAAUAAUCAACCUCAACGUAUUUAAGACCAACCAUUUCAGCAUCCAAAGAACUCAAACAAGUAGAGUACAUAUUCAACAAAGAGUUAUACACAAACCUACUAGGAUUCGAGAAACACCUAAUAAAAUGACAAUGCACAGCUUUACCGAUCCUAAGGUUACGGGUCUCGGCGCAAGCCUUAAGAACAGAAGAGUAAGUAUAGUUAUCACAACUGGUGUAAGGAGAUGAUUUUUUCAUCUGGGAAUACAACAAAAUGGCUUCAUAGGGCAAGUUAUUGCAGACGAACCCGAUAAUGAUGGUGUUCCAAAUGACGGUUGUUGGGCGGGUAAUUGAGUCGAACAAUUGGCGGGCUAAAUGGGGACGGCCUUCUUGGCAAAUUUUGCUUAAGCGGGAGCGAAUUGUAGGGGUUUUGAGUUUUGGGAUUGGCGGGGAGAGUGAGUGGAUUUGCGGAAGCUGAGGAGGAGGAGGAGUGGCGGUUGGUGGAGGUGGUGGAAGAGGAAGAGGCACAGAGGAGGAGGCCAUGGAUGAGCUUUGGCUUUGUGCUUUUCCUCCGACAACUGUUUAGUUUGAGAUGUGAUGUUGUGUGGUUCGUUUACUUAAGAGGCUCCGAUUUUCCGUUAUCUUUUUAUUAGUCUUACGUGGGAUGUGCAUGUCAGCAUGUGCUUCUUGAAAUUUCGUUUCGGAAUUGCCCAAUCAAAGAUGACGAUCAAGCACAAGUGCACGACUCAACAACUCGAGCACAAUCAGUCACAAAAACCAGUAAUUUUAUACAUUUGCUAAUGGGCAUUAAUUUACUGAUGACUUCGUAGUUGAAUUUGAAAUUAAGUAGUCAACUAACUAAAAUUAUUAAUCAUUUAACUUUGUCUUUGAGGUUAGCACACCCUAAUUUUUGGGAGAAUUAUUCUACUCAUUAAGGUUGAGUUUAUUAGUUUAUAAUACUAGUUUCCUACAGUACCCAAAUUAUUAUUUUUUUUUUUUUUGAGGUCAAAAGAUUAAAAUUCAUUAAGCAGAUAACUUAGAUAUCAACCAAGGGGGUGGAACAUGCCUUCACUCCCCCGGACCUGACAAAGAACCCCCCACCCGAGCAAUAAAAUGAGCAGUGGAGUUCGCAGAUCGCCUAACAAAGGAGAAAGUAACAUCUCCUAUAGAUUGAGCUAAAGCUCUACAAUCGUCAAUAAUAAGACCAAAACCAUUAGGGCUAAAACUAUUAGUAGUCAAAGCAUUGAAAACUUGCAAGCUGUCCAUUUCGACAAUGACAGGAAAAACGGGUAAACCCUUGAGCCAGCUGAGGAUCUCUCGCACUCCAAUAGCUUCAGCCUCCCGGGCACCAAAACUACCUAUAAAGCAGUCACUCCUGGCAGCUAUGAAAACCCCAUCCGAAUUACGAAUGACAGCCCCAUGACUAAUCUUGCCACUGGAAGAGAAGGUUGCCGCAUCAACAUUACAUUUAAACCACCCCACACUUGGCCUUUGCCAACACACGGCCCCAUGAGAAUUUGACACAAAAGUGUUAUCAAACAGCUGCAGCUUCCUCACAGAACGCCAUUGAAAAAGAACCUGGCCGGCUAGAUUAAGAACACUUGACAGCCUCCCAUUUUUGUUCUUCCAGACCUUAGAAUUCCUAUUCAACCAAAGGCUCCAACAAAUCAUGGCAGCAAGGUCACAAUCAUCACUGCUGCAGCGGGCAAAGACUCUCGCCAGCCAAUCCCCAAAAUACAUACAACCCCCCUCAAAACCAAUUGGAGACAAUAACCAACAUGAUUUAGCAAAAGAACAGUUCAACAGACAAUGGACAACAGAUUCAUCAGCUGCAUUACAAAUGGGACAGGUAGAAGCUAACUCAACUUGACGGCGUCGUAAGUUAUCCGCGGUGGGCAGGACAUUAACCCCCGCACGCCAUAUAAAAUGGUUAACUUUAGCAGGGACUUUAAGCUUCCAAAUUCGUUGCCAUAUAUUACUAGAAGGAAUCUCCGAAAGGUAAACUUAACAUCUUGUAGCAGCUACGAACAGUAAACAAACCUUUAGAGUCAGCAGACCAAUACCAGACAUCAUCAUCUCUUCUGCUACUUAGAGGAAUUUGGGUGAUAAGACCUCGAUCUUUCUCAUUAAAGAUGUCUGUCAGAGCAUCCAAGUCCCAGUUGCGUUGCCCUGGUAACAUGAGACUGCUUACUGGAGCAUUGAUUAUAGCAUCAGGCAGGGGGGUAGUAACAUAUCCAUGAUCCAGAUCUGGAAGCCAUGGAGAGCCACCAAUCGUGGUUUGAAGACCAUUACCGAUUUGAAUGCGACUGCCCUGGGUAAUCACAUGAUGCGCUGCCAUAAUAGACCGCCAAGCAUAGCUAGGAUUGCUUCCCACAGUAGCUUUGCCAAAUGAGGUCAGUGGGUGGUAUCUAGAUUUAAGGAUGCGCGCCACCAAGCUAUCAGGCUGAGAUAAAAGCCUCCACCCUUGUUUUCCAAGCAUUGCCACGUUAAAGUGGUGCAGCUGCUUAAAACCGAUUCCACCAUAAGCUUUAGGCUUACAUAACCUCUCCCACCGCAUCCAAUUUAUCCCUCUACUGUCACUCCGAUGAUUACCCCACCAGAAUGAAUUCAUCAUGCGCUCAAGCUCUCUACAAAGAUCCAAAGGAAGAAGGUAUAAGUUCAUUGCAUAAUUCGGCAUUGCCUGUUUGUUCUUCCAGACCUUAGAAUUCAUAUUCAACCAAAGGCUCCAACAAAUCAUAGCAGCAAGGUCACAAUCACCACUGCUGCAGCGGGCAAAGACUCUCGCCAGCCAAUCCCCAAAAUACAUACAACCCCCCUCAAAACCAAUUGGAGACAAUAACCAACAUGAUUUAGCAAAAGAACAGUUCAACAAACAAUGGACAACAGAUUCAUCAGCUGCAUUACAAAUGGGACAGGUAGAAGCUAACUCAACUUGACGGCGUCGUAAGUUAUCCGCGGUGGGCAGGACAUUAACCCCCGCACGCCAAAUAAAAUGCUUAACUUUAGCAGGGACUUUAAGCUUCCAAAUUCGUUGCCAUAUAUGACUAGAAGGAAUCUCCGAAAGGUAAACUAACAUUUUGUAGCAGCUACGAACAGUAAACAAACCUUUAGAGUCAGCAGACCAAUACCAGACAUCAUCAUCUCUUCUGCUACUUAGAGGAAUUUGGGUUAUAAGACAUCGAUCUUUCUUAUUAAAGAUAUCUGUCAGAGCAUCCAAGUCCCAGUUGUGUUGCCCUGGUAACAUGAGACUGCUUACUGGAGCAUUGAUUAUAGCAUCAGGCAGGGGGGUAGUAACAUAUCCAUGAUCCAGAUCUGGAAGCCAUGGAGAGCCACCAAUCGUGGUUUGAAGACCAUUACCGAUUUGAAUGCGACUGCCCUGGGUAAUCACAUGAUGCGCUGCCAUAAUAGACCGCCAAGCAUAGCUAGGAUUGCUUCCCACAGUAGCUUUGCCAAAUGAGGUCAGUGGGUGGUAUCUAGAUUUAAGGAUACGCGCCACCAAGCUAUCAGGUUGAGAUAAAAGCCUCCAUCCUUGUUUUCCAAGCAUUGCCACGUUAAAGUGGUGCAGCUGCUUAAAACCGAUUCCACCAUAAGCUUUAGGCUUACAUAACCUCUCCCACCGCAUCCAGUUUAUCCCUCUACUGUCACGCCGAUGAUUACCCCACCAGAAUGAAUUCAUCAUGCGCUCAAGCUCUCUACAAAGAUCCAAAGGAAGAAGGUAUAAGUUCAUUGCAUAAUUCGGCAUUGCCUGUGCAACUGUUUUCAAUAAGAUUUCUUUCCCCGCUCUAGAUAACAACUUCUGAUUCCAGCCUUGGAGACGACGCCAAACCUUGUCACGGAUAAAUCGAAAUGCCUCAUUCUUGUUUCGGCCAAUGGAAGAUGGCAAGCCAAGGUAAGAGCCAUGGUUGCUGGUAGCUGCAACCUCCAGAAUGUCGCAAACUUGCUGAGCUGAGGCAGCCCGAACAUUAGCACUAUAAGAAAUCGAAGAUUUAUUGUAGUUCACCACUUGUCCCGAAGCUGCCCCAUAACUAGCCAACGAUUGUUUGAUGAUCCUAGCCUCUUGUUCAUUUGCGUGAAAGAAAAGGAAGCAGUCAUCCGUAAAAAAGAGAUGAGUCACAAUCGGAGCUCCCCUAGCUACCCUAACUCCAUGCAUCAAGCCUGCCCUCGCUUGCUUGCGAAGUAAAGAACUCAACCCCUUCGCACAAAUGAUGAACAGAUACGGAGACAGGGGAUCUCCCUGUCGCAGCCCUCUGCUAGGAACAAUUGGGCCCACUUCCUUAUUGCCCUGAAUAACCUUGUAAGUGACGGUAGAAACACACAAUAAGAUUAGCUCAACCCAUCUCGCAGCGAAUCCCAGCUUCAACAUCAUAGCUUUUAAAAAACCCCAUUCAAUCCUAUCGUACGCCUUGGACAUGUCAAUCUUUAAGGCUGCAAUCCCUGUCUUCCCUUGCCGCUUNNNNNNNNNNNNNNNNNNNNNNNNNNNNNNNNNNNNNNNNNNNNNNNNNNNNNNNNNNNNNNNNNNNNNNNNNNNNNNNNNNNNNNNNNNNNNNNNNNNNNNNNNNNNNNNNNNNNNNNNNNNNNNNNNNNNNNNNNNNNNNNNNNNNNNNNNNNNNNNNNNNNNNNNNNNNNNNNNNNNNNNNNNNNNNNNNNNNNNNNNNNNNNNNNNNNNNNNNNNNNNNNNNNNNNNNNNNNNNNNNNNNNNNNNNNNNNNNNNNNNNNNNNNNNNNNNNNNNNNNNNNNNNNNNNNNNNNNNNNNNNNNNNNNNNNNNNNNNNNNNNNNNNNNNNNNNNNNNNNNNNNNNNNNNNNNNNNNNNNNNNNNNNNNNNNNNNNNNNNNNNNNNNNNNNNNNNNNNNNNNNNNNNNNNNNNNNNNNNNNNNNNNNNNNNNNNNNNNNNNNNNNNNNNNNNNNNNNNNNNNNNNNNNNNNNNNNNNNNNNNNNNNNNNNNNNNNNNNNNNNNNNNNNNNNNNNNNNNNNNNNNNNNNNNNNNNNNNNNNNNNNNNNNNNNNNNNNNNNNNNNNNNNNNNNNNNNNNNNNNNNNNNNNNNNNNNNNNNNNNNNNNNNNNNNNNNNNNNNNNNNNNNNNNNNNNNNNNNNNNNNNNNNNNNNNNNNNNNNNNNNNNNNNNNNNNNNNNNNNNNNNNNNNNNNNNNNNNNNNNNNNNNNNNNNNNNNNNNNNNNNNNNNNNNNNNNNNNNNNNNNNNNNNNNNNNNNNNNNNNNNNNNNNNNNNNNNNNNNNNNNNNNNNNNNNNNNNNNNNNNNNNNNNNNNNNNNNNNNNNNNNNNNNNNNNNNNNNNNNAGCCUCCAGACUCACUACACUAGCUUUCGGAAAAAGGGAGAGCCAAGUGCUGGAAACCAGAGCUCUAUUUAAUCUCUCCUCCACCCAGUCAACCGUACCCCGAGACCUCUCCCAAGUGUACUGAUAGCCUUCCAUGCCUAAGUCAACCAAACCAGAAUCUGAGACAGCCGCGCGAAAGCCUUGAAGCUUCCAAUUUGGGUGCUGACAUCUGCCACGCUUCUCACUAUUAUGCAGGAGAUCAUUGAAGUCUCCAAUGCACACCCACGGUAAAGAAGAAAUGGAGGAUAAAGAGCGAAGAAGCUCCCAUGAAUCUCGCCUCUUGCUCGUCUCAGGGAAGCCGUAGAACCCCGUACACCGCCACGUUCUAGAGUCUGCAUUUUCUACUUGGACGUCAAUGAAGUUACGCCCAAAUUUGAGAAGCCUAACAUUGUGAGAAGAAUUCCAGUAAAGGGCGAGCCCACCACUUCGGCCCACUUUAUCCACAGUAAACAAAUUAUUAAAGCCCAACUUAAACUUCAAGUUCUCUAAUUUUUCUCGACUACAUAAAGUUUCCAUUAGAAAUAUAAAAUCCGGUUUUUUACUUCUGACCAAGUCCAACAAAACCUGCACUGUCCGUGGGUGGCCCAGCCCACGGCAGUUCCAACUUAAGCAACUCAUUGCUCUCGGUGGGCAUGUGAACCAGGACCCACCGCUAAUCCGUUUUUUGAAACACCCACAUUCUCCAUCACUUGGGUGGAUGUGGUCUCAUCACUCCCCACCUCUAGCUGCAUUGCACCAUGGGCCCUUCUCCGUUUGGCAUCUAUAACAAUAAUACCAGAGUUAAACUCUUCCCCACAUUCCUGUAAUUNNNNNNNNNNNNNNNNNNNNNNNNNNNNNNNNNNNNNNNNNNNNNNNNNNNNNNNNNNNNNNNNNNNNNNNNNNNNNNNNNNNNNNNNNNNNNNNNNNNNNNNNNNNNNNNNNNNNNNNNNNNNNNNNNNNNNNNNNNNNNNNNNNNNNNNNNNNNNNNNNNNNNNNNNNNNNNNNNNNNNNNNNNNNNNNNNNNNNNNNNNNNNNNNNNNNNNNNNNNNNNNNNNNNNNNNNNNNNNNNNNNNNNNNNNNNNNNNNNNNNNNNNNNNNNNNNNNNNNNNNNNNNNNNNNNNNNNNNNNNNNNNNNNNNNNNNNNNAUUCAAGCCUGGAUUUAUGGUACCUUCCAUAUCAACUGUCAUGGCCUCAUCGGAAUUAAUGCAGCUUCCAACUUUCAUCUCCUCCUCCCCUGGUGGAGUUGACCGCAGCCAGCGAUCGCCAGCGUUCAUCAAAUUUCUACGUGUAGGCGCCUUCAUCCAGUGGCCAAACGGCUUAGUAAUAGUAGCCGUAGUACACUUAUACAAAGAUGGACAACUUUUCUCUGUGUGACCAAGGAGACCACAGAUAAAACAAAACACAUUCAACCUUUCGUAUUUGAAAUCCACCCACAUCCAAUCUCCACCUGCUUUCUUGAGACGCAUCCUACGCUUGAGAGGCUGCCUAACAUCAAUGGCCACCCGGAUCCUCAUAUAGUUCCUCCAAAUCCCUUUAAGGUUAUUUUCAUCCGAUUCCACAAACUUGCCAAUGUAAUUACCAAUGCUCUAUAAGAUUUUCUCUGAUUGAAAACCGAUAGGAAGGUUGUAGAUUUGGGUCCAAAAUGAUGUAUGAAAUAAAGGUACAUGUUGAGGUUGAUCCUCUGCCCCCAACCGCUGAACAAUGAGAAUAUGCUGGUCAAAUGUCCAAGGCCCUGAGUCUAUCACUCUGUUGAUGUCAAUUUCAUGAAAGAAUUGGAAGAGAAAUAGUGUAGGCGACAGAUCUUUAAUACAAACUCCUCUGCCAUGCCUCCACAGCGAAGCCAUAGUGCUCUUCAUGGCUGGGAAGUUAAUCACCUUGUCCGUCAAGAACCUACCCACAAGGCAGUAACGGAAAUCACUUUGGGCCUCCUCGCAUUCCUCAUCCUCAACCCCCGCUACAAUUAUCCCCCCUUCCUCCUCCUCAGCAAGAGUAAGCCGUGCAUAAGAGUUGUUUAAGUCAGCCUCCAUUGUUGUGUGCGCACCCGCCAUACUCAGAACAAUGUGACUAACUUGGUUGAGGCGAAACAAUGAAUAAGAAAAAACUAAAGAGCAAAGAAAACAAAGAAGGUAUUUAUUUACUUGUCAAGCAGACAAGACAAACACACUUGCCAAAGGACAAGACAGCGUUUCUUGAAUUAAAAAACCCCGCAUCAACCAUAAACUCAACUUUCAUUUAGACUCUCUUAGAUUCCAACAUUUCAAAGAAACACAGUACCCAAAUUAUUUGAAUAAGGGCAAAACUGCAUAAGUGCCUAUGUGUAACGGGCUGUCCAAAAUUUCAGUUCGAGAAUUUAAGAUUCUGGGUCCAAGAGCCCAAAUCUAAGUCAAUGUGUGCAACUUGGCCAAAUUUUAGAAUUUUCUAGCACACUCUAACACAUCUAAUCACUUGUACAUAUUUAGAAUCUUCGACACCUCUAUAUAUUUAAAAAUAUCUAAAUUUUUAUAAUAAGUUGUACAAAUUGCGUGGAAUUUUUUAGAAUAGGCAAGUCUCUCCUACAAAUAGGGUAUGACACUUACCAUUUUAGACACACAAUACAAUAAGUAAUUCAAGCAUACUUGUAAAUCUCUCAAGCUCUCUAGUAUAUAUUCAUUCGAGUUAUAAACUUUCGCUUUAAUUAUAUUACUCUCUCCUCUUUAUAAUUUUUGCAAUUAUCUUUACUUAACUAGUUUGAAAAGUUCGAUAAGCUUACUUAACAGCUUUUGUACUAGAAUUUUUUAAUUGCCGUACAGAUUUGUUGUGUAAAAUACUCUUCCAAUGACAUAUGGCUGCCUUAACACAACAAAUGGCCAUUGAUGAAUAAUUCAAAGCCUCUAUCAUUUUUUUUAAUUCUCCACUUAACAUAAUAUUUGAAUUUUGGUGGAUAGGUGGCUAAAGCUGAUUGCAAACCAACCAAGUGCAAUUCUAGAAACAUGUUAACAAAAAUACCAACGUGAAAAAUUCAGAUAUAAUUCGAUGCUAGUCAGAACAUGUGAUCAAUAAUUAGUUUUGGUAGGUAUGAUAAAAUGUAGCGGGAGAAUAAGAUAAAAAGAGUCGCUGGGCUUUGUGGUCGUGGAGCAAAAGUAGUACAAACUGAUUUAAGUAAGGCACGUGUGGUAUAAAGGUUUUAUGGGUUAAAAAAUUAUAUCUACUUUGAGAAAAAACAUAUAUGCAUAUUGGAUAUACAAGUCGAUUGUAUUUAGUAAAUACAACCUGUGAAUAGUAUUUUUUAAAUAAAAUAAAUAAAAUAUUAUAAUUUUUUUUCAAUCAAUCAUGAAAUAAAAUCAUUUCAAUUUAAAAACUACAAUCUUAAGUAUUUAUUAAACUAUUUAUAUUUGUAGCUUUUAAAUCAUUAUUAUCUCACAACAGUACCAAACAGCCAUUAAACUCCUCGAACUGUAAUAAGCCUAAAAAUAAAAUGCAACAAUUUAAAAGUAAACUAAUAAUAAAAGGUGUAAUGUAAGGAAGGCAUAAUAAUCAAUUAAAAAAUAAUAAUAAAAGGGGUGUAGCCCCGCUUUCCCCGCUAUUAAUUUAAUCAGUAAAAUUAAUAAACAGCACUUGCGAGUCAAAAAUGGAUGUCUUUAAUUUUUAUUUUAUUUUUAAAUUUAAAACAAACAAUAGGGAUUGGCGGAUUGCUAAUGAUAAAGACAAAAGAAGGAUUACAUCCUGAUAUUAUUCUCAUCACCAUCAAAUAUAAAAUUAAAGAUCACAAUCAACAAAUGUAAGAAGUACAUAUAUGGUCAAUUAUUGUCAUCCAAUCAACUAUAAAAUUAAGGCCACAUCAAACAUGUGAUGAAUAUAUAUAUAUAUAUACUAUACUAGCAGCUUGAAUUACCAUUCGCACAAACCAUAAAUAGUUGUGUCGUUCAAAGAAAUUAACGACGACAACUCCCCCGUAUAAGAAAUUUAAACGACACUGCAAACAUCACAAUUAACAAAAACGAAUCAUCAGUCGUCAAUCAUGAAGGAGAAAGCCGAGUUGGUGUUCAUUCCUUCACCAAGUGUAGGCCAUCUCGUGUCCGUAAUCGUGUUCGCAAAGCGCUUAUUAUUACUGGACCGUGAUAAUGCCGCAGGCAGCAACAAUAGCUUCUCCAUUACCGUUCUUGUCAUGCAAGAACACACGGCCACCGCCUCCGACAACGAUGCUCACAUCAAAUCACUCGCCGGCGCCGGCGCCACCGCCGAUGUAAGCAUACGGUUCAUUGGUGUCCCGAAGAUGAACCCACCUCCGCUGGACUACUUCAAGUCCCCUGAAAAGUUCAUCACAGAGUAUGUGGACAGCCAUAAAGAUUGUAUUAAAGAAGCUAUUAUCGAGCAUGUCUUGAACAACAACGUAAAAAUCGCGGGACUGGUGCUCGAUUUUUUUUGCUCGAGCAUGAUUGAUACUGCGAACGAGCUUGGGGUUCCUUCUUACGUGUUCUUCACGUCAGGUGCGGCUUUUUUGGGUUUCGUCCUGCAUCUUCCGACUCGGGGUGGUGAAGAAUUUGAAGAAUCGGAAGCUGACUCAGCCGAUAUUUUUACUUAUGCUAAUCCGGUACCGUACCGGGUUCUGCCUUCUCUCUGUUUCAACAAGCAUGGAGGGUUCAGCGCCUUCGAGAAUUUUGGAAGAAGAUUCAAGGAGACGAAGGGUAUAAUUGUAAAUACGUUCGAAGAGCUGGAAUCCCAUGCGGUUGAGUAUUUGAUGAAGUGUGAUGGUGUACCGCCGGUUUACAAUGUGGGACCGAUGAUCGAUCUUCACGGCGAUAUUCAUGCUCGGCCACGUGGGGGUGGGACCCAGCGCGAUGAGAUCAUCAGAUGGCUCGAUGAUCAGCCAGCGUCGUCAGUUGUUUUCUUGUGCUUUGGUAGCAUGGGGAGUUUCGGCGAGGAACAGAUAAAAGAGGUUGCGAGUGGGCUGGGGAAAAGCGGUGUUAGAUUCCUGUGGUCCCUGAGGAAAACCCCGCCGAAGGAUAGACCCGAAAUGCCCGGUGAAUACACGUGUGUGGAGGAUAUACUGCCACGUGGAUUUCAAGAGAGAUCAAAGGGCAGGGGAAUGAUAUGUGGGUGGGCCCCACAGAAGGAAGUACUGGCCCACAGUGCUAUCGGAGGGUUCGUAUCGCAUUGCGGGUGGAAUUCGAUCUUGGAGAGCGUGUGGUUCGGAGUGCCGAUAGUGACGUGGCCGAUAUACGCUGAGCAGCAGAUUAAUGCCUUCCAAAUGGUGAGGGAUUUGGGGCUGGCGGUGGAGCUGAGAUUGGAUUACAGGAGGGGUACCGAAAAUCACGUGAUGGCGGAUGAGUUAGCGAGAGCCGUUGGAUGUGUGAUGGACGGAGAUAGUGAAGUGAGGAAGAGGGUUAAGGAGGUUAGUGAGAAGGCUAGAUUGGCUUUGAGGGACGGUGGAUCUUCGUAUGCUGCGACGGGACGGUUGAUUGAGGAUUUAUUCGGAAGCGUGUCAUGAAGACGAGAGCAUUGGAUUAAUCAUCUUAGUAACCUUAAAUUGUCGAGGUGGUGUUGUCCUAAAAGAGAAAAUUUACAAUUAAAUAUGUUGUAAUGGAUAAAUGAAUCGUUGUUAGGACAUGGGGCUUUGUUGUAGCAAUUAACAGAAAAAUUACUUUCUGUUUGUCAUAAUUUGGUGGAGGUUACUGUACAACUUAACAUUGUGAAGCUCGAGUAAAAAGUAUUUUGAUUAUUAAUGUCAACCAAUCUCAUCCAUUUUGGUCCAAAACUAUUAACAAAUGUAAAAAUAAAUGCAUUUUUAGGUAAUAAUAGAAACUCAAGCAAGCACUUUUGCCCAGCAUAACAUAUAAAUAACAGUUGUUGACACUUGAUACAAAACUGUAAGAAAGUACAACACCCAAAUUUUUUUCUUCAUUAAAAUAAAAUAAAUUACAGAAGCAGUAUCAAUCUUCUUCAAUUGUUUUUGCCUGCUUCCAUCAAACAGUUGGAGAGCUUUGCUUGCAUCCCCGCGUCUUUCUUCUUUUUCUUGAAAUGCUUGGACGCAGCCUUCAGCAUCUUCGCCCAUCCCUGCAUCACAUUUUAUGUUUCCGUAAGUACAAUAAAUAAACAAAUAAAUCCCAUCAACGCAAGCAGAUUUUGGAUUCAUUUAUUUAAUGAUUGAUUAAACUGGUAAAAUCCUUGUAAAGAGAUUAAGAAGAAAUGUACCUUAGUGGAGAUGGGCAAGCAAGAAGUAUUAACAGGAGUUGCAGAAAAUUCGGAGGCUCUGAUUCUCUUGUUCUUCAUCUUUGUCUUCUUGAAAGGGUUAAAUUUGAAAGCAGGGGAUGCGAUCAUCUUCUUCUUGUGGGCACUUUUCUUGAUGAUGCCUUGCUUGUCAAAGUCAAAAUCAUUUGAGAGCUUUCUUGGAGUCACGAAAUGAUCCAAAUCCAUGGGACUGUAAGUGCGAGGAAUCAAAGGAGACCAAAUUGAGCUUUGAGAGUAGUCGAAAUCGAAGGCAGAGUUGUCGGGAAACUUGCAGAGGAGCUCUUUCGACAUCACUGGCUGCAAAUACUCGACCACUUUCAAGUUGAUGAGCAAUUCCCUUUCUUCUUCUUCUUCUUCUUCUUCGUCUCCGUAAUUCCUUUUCAUUCGUAACGUUGAGUUGUGCUCUUUCACUUUCUGUUUUUUCUGUUUUUAUGGCUUUCUUUUUCCACUGUUCUUUAAGCAGCAAACUGAAAGACAGGAGGUCGAAGAAGACAAAAAAUAAGUGACCGUUGCAACGAGUUUAAAACAUUCUGAAAAAAGACUUCUUCCGAAUUGCUAGAUUUACAAUUAUACCCUCAAUGCCUUUUAUUUUUCUAAAAUUUAUGAAACUUAUGAAGUAUAAAAUUUUAUUAAUUUAAGAUCUUUUCUAAUUUUUUUAUAACUAAUUUAUACUCUUUAGACAUUUAUAUCUUAAUAGAAAAAGAUGUGAACGAGAAGUGAAUAUGAUACUUAAAAAAUAUCUAUUAUAAAAUACAUUUAUUUCCUAAACUAUAAAAUUUAAUUCAUUCUUUGUUUUGAUUUGCAAGGAUAUAAAUGUCAGAUAAUCAUAUUUAAAAAUUUUUAUAUCGUUUAAAUAUUUAUAUUCAGAUCCAUUCAAAUAGCAGCAAUGUUGCUAUUAUUUUAUUUUAUUUUUUUAAAUAUUGAUGUUACAAUGAUGUGUCUACAAAUAUUUAAACCUAGAAUUAUUGAAGAAUAAUUUAAGAUUAAUUUUAUCAUGGCCCAGCUCAAAAAAAAUUAUACCCUUUUUCCCCACUACUAUUUAAGGAUUUAUUUAUCUUACCCCGAUUUGAGGAAUAAAUUAUUUGCCUCUACCUAGAUGAGGAAAAAAUAAUAAUAAUAAGAAUCUUAACUUAAAAUUAGGACCUGAAGCAAAGCUUCAUUACCAAUGGCCUACCGGCUACAUGACCAUUGGCUAUUACUUUUUUUUUUUUUUUGGUUCUUGUCAUUGUUAAUUAUUAUUAUUAUUAUUAUUAUUAUUAUUUGGGUAAUCAAAAUAUUUAGAAAACAAUUGUACAUAAUUAAGAUGUUAACAAUUGUACAAAAUUAAGAUGUUAACUUUGGAGGAUAUAAGUUUAAUUAGAUGGGAUGUAUGUGAUUAGUUGAUUACUAUUAGUGACAUUCAUGAUAUUAAUUAAGUGCAAAAAUUAAUUAAAAUAGCAAAAUUCACAUCCUUGAUAUUCAACGUUUGGUAUGGCACAGCCCACGUGCCAAACUUUGACGCAAGCUUUGAGAAAAUGUUUUAUCGGGGCAGAACAGCGGAAAAGGUUACCGUUGGAGAUGUGAUGGCAAAUAAUUUAUGAAAAAAUGUUAAAUCCGCCGAAAAGUUGCAAGGCCGCACUAAAUACAAUUCAAUAAUGUUUUCCUGUAUAUAUAAAUGCUUAACCCCGGACAAAUGCCAAAGGAAAUUGGCUUAAAAUUGAUGAGUUAUGUUUGGGAAUUGGAAUUGAGGUGUUAUAGGGGCUGUAUUUUUUAAAUUUGGUAAAACUGGGCAAUGAUUACAGAUAUAAUCUAAAUUUUCUUUCUAAUAAUAAUGCUACAAUAAUUUAUAGGUUAUACCUACCUUGGAGCUGCUUUAAAGUAGAAUAUGAUUCACAGCCACAUACGUAAAGUAAUAAAUAAGAAAAAAAUUUAUUAUAACUUUGAUCGUAUGAUUAUGAACGGAUACUCUAACCUAAAGUGUUUCUAAUGUAGUCGGAGCCUAAUUUGUAUCACAAGUAAUUUGUUUAUUAUUACUUGAGAUCUGUUGAGUGCGCACAAACUUUAUUUCUUAGCGUAAUUAAGUUUAGGCGGCGGAUAAUUGAGAUGAACUCAAAAUUCGCAAGUGGAAUGGUGUUUUCUCUUCCCAUUUCGGAAAUAAUAUUUCAAGAUUAGUCGUGGUGGAUCGAAAAAGUUCAAGACAGUAUAUGAAAUGAUUUGAUGAUGUAAUUUGAUUCCUUUAGCAGAAAUUUUUUUUAAAAAAAAAGUAUGCGGAGGGAGACACUACUGCACCAAAGCUUCGUUGAAGCCUGCUUUUUGAUGACUUGUCCCUUAGAACUUUAAUUCCUCCGAGAAUUUUUUUCCGCAUUACAUGAUCCGAGAGUUAGAGAGGUCAGCUCUUUGAGUAGAAAGCAAGCAAAACAAAAAGCAGAAACAAGAAAUUAAAAAAAAAAAAAAUUGAUUUCAAGAUUUUACUCAUCUUCCAAGCAAGCAUAAAUUCCCAGCAAAUAAUAUAUAAAAAAAAGAAAAGGAUACGAUAAGAGAUAAAAAGAUACCGUCUCUUUUCCUGUUAUGUAUUGCUUUUUGCCUCGCUUAGCUUCCUGUAUUUAUAUCCCCCAGUGCUUGUAUUAUAGUGGAGAUUCAUGAAGCAGAAAAUCCCAACUGGAGCUACCUGCAAUAUACAGUUUAUGCAUGCCAUGGAGCCGAGAAAGAUUUCUAUCAGAUUCUUUGUUUUAGUUGCUUACGUUUUCAUCUCAGCCACCAACUUCUUCACUCUCACCGGUACUUAUUUGUUUUCCUAAAUGCAUUAUUUUUUAAUUGUUUAGUCCAUUGCUAGGCCGCUAGUGCUGAUUUAUGUAUGAUUUCUUUAUGCAGAUGCAAGACAUGUUGUGCAAUUUUCAAGCUUUCAAGGGCCCGAAUUCAGUCGAAAUUCAAUCCACAAAGCCAUGAAAAAACCAAAGUUAUCGAGUCACGUUAACAUCCAUAAAAACUUUUAUCUUUCAAGGGCUGAAUCAAAUGGCCUAAGCGCUCCAUUUUCUUUUCCACCUCUUGAAUCAAUAACUCCGCUUUCUUCUCCUCAUAACAAUAUCCCUGCUCCAUUUUGUAUAUACCCACCAUCUACGCCCAAUCUUCCUUUUCAAAGCCCGCCUUAUGCGGCCGCAAGCCCGCCUGGAGUUUUGCCAGGUCUAAGCCCACCUAGCACAGGCGUUCCUGUAGUUUCACCUGGUCUAAGCCCACCACAAUAUGUACCAAGCCCACCUAGCACUGGAACUCGUACCCCGCCACCCUAUGGGCCAAGCCCACCGAAACUCGCUCCUGGCUCGCCAGUCUAUCAACCUCCAAUGGCUCACCCACCACCGGCUGGACCGCCACCGCCACCACAUCAAAAUCCUCGGUUUCCGGUUUGGUGUGUUGCCAAGCCCGCAGUGCCUGACUCGAUAAUUCAAGAGGCCAUGGAUUAUGCAUGCGGAACAGGAGCGGAUUGCAAGCCUAUUCAGACCAAUGGGUCGUGCUUUCAGCCCAAUACUUUGGUUGCACAUGCUUCUUAUGCUUUCAAUAGCUACUGGCAGAAGACAAAGAAUCGUGGAGGAACUUGUGAUUUUGGUGGGAUUGCCAUGCUUGUCACAACUGAUCCAAGUAAGUCCGGUCAAUAAUAUUUUUACCCAAAAGAGAGUAUAAACGUUUCCACUUACACAUUUUAAAAUAUAGAUUUGAGAUCGGACAACAUCAUACUAAUAUGAAGUUUAACUCAACUUCGACUUAUGUAAUAAAAUAAUAUUGUUUAGUCUCACAUCUGAAUUUUAAAAAGUGAGAACAUUUAGCGACAAAAAUAUAAGAAUUGCUUUUUUUAGAGUUUGUAUAAGUGCAUAACCUUAUUGAAAUAGAAAAAGAAAUACAAAAUAAAAAGAGAGUUAAAUUGAUUAAGAGGAUUGGUACCUGCCUAAAUUCUAAUAAUCUUCAUAUAAACUUUUACAAAUAAGAACCGGAGGCCUAUCCCACCAGGUAUAGAAGAAAAAAAAUAAAUUCAAUAUUAACUGAGUAUGGCUACUUGAACUUCUAAAUUUAACAAUAAAAACUAUAUAUAUAAAAAAAAAGAUAUCAAGUUGUUGGUAAUAGGGAAUAUACAUGAUCUAAACAAAAGAUAUCAAGCAUGUUAUGUAGCAUAGGGAUGACAAUUUAUGGGCUUGGGUCGGGCUUUUCGAAGCCCAGGCCCACAUCAUUCAAACAAAGUCCACGUCAUUCAAAAACCUGUCCAAAUUUGGACGGGCUGGGCUCGGGCCUUUUUCUAAAAUUAAUUAUAAAAUAUUUUUAAUUAAAGAUAAUCAUCUAAUAUAUAAUAGAAUAAUAAUCCAAUACAUAAAUAUAUUAGUAAUACAACCUAAUAAAAUAACAAAUACUAAUACAAAAAAUUAAAAUAAUUUAAUAAUUUAAAUUUUUUUAAUUUACAUUAAAUUUAUUUUUUAUUCAUACAAGUUUGAGUUUUUUUACUAACUCUUUAUACAAGCCCACUCCUUACGGACGGGGCCUUAGUCCUGCGGGCCUUGGCUGGCCGCGGCCCGGGCCUUUUGCCACUCCUAACGUAGCAGGACCUAAAGUCCUAAGAAAUACAUUAACCAAAUAAAUUUUGCAAAUCUGAACCAUGUUUACAUUCUCUUCGAUCUUCAUGUAAAACUAUUAAUGUGAAAGUAGAUUUUGCUGCAAAAUCUACUCUGACAUUAUUAAUUAAGCUUAAAAUCAUAAUUAGCGCCUGGAAAAUUACAAAACCCCCAUCAAUUUUAUUGCCAGCUAAUUACAGAGCCCAUUUUUCAAGACAUUGACAUCUUAACUAGCUAAUUAACAAAAAUAUCCGUAUCUGAAAUAAUCAAAGUUUGUGGUGUUUCAUCUUGAAUUUAAGUUAUUUAACAGUCAAAAUUUUGUGCAUACGUGCUUGUCGUUACUUCAGAUUAAUUAUAAUAUCUCAUUUUUCCCUGUUAAUCAAAUUCAUGACUCGUGGAUGGAAACCGAGAGCACUGGUGCAUGAACUGUUUUGUAAAUCAUGUGGACCCCUUUGUGCAUGAAACCACAAACAAUUAAUUUGUCUUCUUCUUAUUUAUUUUUAUUUUUUGUUUUAUUUUACAGUGAUAUUAUUUGUUAAAAUGAUACAGAAAAAGGAAUAAAAUUACCUUGAUUGAUGGCAGCGAAGACGGCAAGGCCGUGAGUUAAUGAGUUUAGAUCUAGAGUUUUGUUUCUUUGUUUUUUUUACUAUUUGAGUUUUUUUUUACCAUUUGAUUAAAUUAAAAUAUGUUUUAAUUUUAACAAAAUAUCUCGGGUUUGGUUUUGGGUUCGGGGCCUGAUAAAAUUUAUGUACCUAAAUCCAAAAUAUAUUUGGGACUUGGGCUAAUUCUCAAAAUAUACUCAUUUGUAAUUUUGAAAUCUUUUGAAGGUCAAUACCCAACCUAAAUUAAUCGGAGGCCCAUGAGUAUGAACCCAUGGAGAAUGUUGUCAUGCUAGACAAAACGUUUUCAUUUCCAACAACAAUAAAAAAGAAAAUGUCGGUCUGUAGGACACAUAUAGAACAUCUAGACAGAAUCAUAUGCAUUUCGCAGAAAACAAAACUUAGCUUGAUUUUAUCUUUUGGUAUUUUGUAUUCAUUGGUCUAUCGAUACAAAUAAAUUUGUCCGGCAUUUUGACCGUUCAUAUGAAUACAAAUGCUCUAUAUAUGGGUAUACUAAUGAACACAGAGAAUAUAUUGUGCUUAAAUUUCAUAAUAUUAUUAUGUAGUAUGUAUUAAUUUCCAAACCCUCCUCUGUCCAUUUUUUCAGGUUUCAGUGAUUGCAAUUUCAUCUCCAACUGAUAUAGAGAGGAGACAUACAAGUAACCCAGCUAUUGUAAUUAAGCAACUUAAUUAGUUAUUUUGCCCUUCUUUUUUUUUUUUUUUUAAAAAAAAAUUCAAACCGAGAAUUAAAAACAUUCAGUAUAGCAUUCAUUAUGUAUGUUGUAUACAAUACAGUAUUAUAUUUUCUGAUCAUAUUAACAAAAUAGAUGUCAAGUUGUUUCAACAUUCACUCGCGGUUUAGAUGGAUACACGAACAUAAAAUUAGAAGAAAGUAGCAAAGCCUUUCAUGUCAUUUCUACAUUUAGAGAAAUAUUGUAAAGCUAUGACUAAUUCUGAAAAUUGUUGUCUUUUAAUUUUAUGGUAGCAUAAAUUUUUAGGCGAUCAAAUAAUUUCUCUAACAAUUACUGCGAAACUUCAUGAUGAAAAAGACAUACAAAUCAAAUUUUUAACAUAUUUUUAGUAAGUGAUACGGCCAAUGGAGUAAUAAAUUUAUUGGCAACACUGAACUCAGCAGUUCACCUCCCAAUUUAAUUGAGUAGCGUAAAAAUCUUCUCCAUCUAGAAUAGAUUAGAUAAUUAUUUUGAUAUCAAGUGAGAGUAGAAAUUUGAAUUAUGCUAUAAUAAAUUGACAUGUGAUGCCAAAUCUUUUAAAGUGAUGAUACAGUUAUAAACUCUUAUAUAAAUUUAUUUUGUACAAAUUGAUGUAGUAUUAAUUUAUUGAUUGAAUAAAAAUAUAAAAUAAUAAAAAUAAAUCAUGUGGAUCUAGAGAUAUUUAAUUCAACCAAUUUUAUCAUGCCGCAUCAAUUUAUGUACAAAAUAAAUUUAUACAAAAAUUUAUAACUAUAUCAUUACUCAAUCUUUUAACAUGCCCGUCAAAAUCCAGCAAGUGAUAAAAAAAAAAAAAUAAAUAAAUAAAAGAAGGCCAGGGCAGCGGCAAUGUACUUUUAUUGCUAGUGGGGUUAAAGCCUGUCAGAGCGAAGUAUGCGUACUUGCGUAGUCUAUUUCUAUCUUCAAUGGGGUCCAAUUUGAAAAAGAAGAGAAACGAAGAAAACAUAACAUCUUUUGAAGUUUUGUUCAAUCGGUAUCCAAAGCACAGGGAAAAAAGAAGAUGGGUCCAAUGUCAACACAUUCUCGCAUAAUUUUCCAUUAAUAAUUGCACGGCCUAUUUCCAUAUACAUUUCAUGCAAAAUUAAGAGUACAUGGGCCCUCGCCCCUUGAAAUUUCAAUGCAUUAUGUUGCAACUUGCAAGUUACCAAACUAUGCCAAAAUUAUUUUGUACAUUUGUGACCGACACCAGCUGGAAAGGAUAGUGGAUGGAUUAAUUUUAAUUUGCUUUUGCUAGGCUGCUAUGCGAGCACGAAAUAAAAAUUAUUGAGUCCAGAAAGAAAGAUCUCAAUGUCUUUUUGUCAGCUUAUAGUUUUUAAAUGCAAAGACCUGUUAAAAAAAAUAAAUGCUAAGAAAAGAAGAUGUGGGUUAAUUAAUGAGUCACAUGCAAUUUGAAAGUUGAGCCAUAUCCUCUCUCAAUCACGGGCUCAACAGGGCACAAAAUGUUAAAAAUGGCCUCAAAUCAAUCAAGUACCCAUUUUCUGGAUCGAUUUAAUUGAUUCCCUUGUUGGGUCAGUGUAGAAAAGAGUAUCCUCGAAAAUCCCUGUUGACACUUGACAGUGAACCCACAUGCCUACUACAGUCGGCUUUUAUCAAUAUGUUCACAAAGGUUUGGUAAUGUACAUGAGAGUAAAAAGAUAAUGCUUUUGUAAAAAGAUAAAUUUCUAAAAUUUUCUGAUGUAAGUAGGUUUUUAUAAAUUCACGUUCGUGAUUACAAGUUUUAUGAUCUAGCUAUGGAGAUUAUGUGUUUUGCAUCUCAGAUUGUGAAAGUGAAACAACUUAAAUCAAUAUCUCAUUUGUUUAACUAUCACAGCCAGCUAGCUAGCAUAAUUUUCUUAAUAGGUAAAAGAGGAAUUGUUUUAAUAUCAAUAUGUCUAUUACUGAUUUGAGUUUGUCCCCCCCCGAGCACUAUUGUCAAAUCGAGACAAAUUACGAAAAAUAAAAAAAGAUAAUGCUUGAUCCAUUAGUUUCUGUUUUCCCUUUGUCUUUAUAAGAAGGCAUGCAUAUUCAUUCACUCAAUACUUGAUCCAAUACUCUCUCUACUUCGGAGAGUUGUCGGAGUUUAAUUUUCACGAUGGGUAGAAAACAUCCUUUAGCUAAUUUCUUGAUUCUCCUCUUGAACUUGGGUACGUUACUAUCUUCUUUAGCAUGUCCAUAUUGCCCUUAUCCUACUCCUCCCCCUCCGUGUCCCCCAACAUUUCCACCAAAACACCCUCCGCAUGUAAAGCCACCUUUCCACCCCAAACCACCGCAUCACAAGCCACCCCAUGUCAAACCACCGCACAAGCCCCCGUAUGUUCCUAAACCACCUUACACACCAAGGCCUAAACCGCCUUACACGCCAAAACCACCUUAUACGCCAACCCCUAAGCCACCAUAUUUCCCCAAACCACCUUACACACCAAGGCCUAAGCCACCGUAUGCGCCAAAACCACCUUAUACGCCAACCCCUAAGCCACCCUAUUUCCCCAAACCACCUUACACACCAAGUCCCAAAACCACCUUACACCCCAACUCCUAAGCCACCGUAUGUCCCUAAACCACCGUAUGUACCAUCACCACCUUAUACCCCUCGCCCUAGACCACCGUAUGUACCAUCGCCACCUUAUACCCCUAGUCCUAAACCACCGUAUGUGCCAUCACCACCUUAUACCCCCAGCCCUACCCCACCAUAUGUACCAUCACCACCGUAUACCCCAAGCCCUACCCCGCCAUAUGUACCAUCACCACCGUAUACCCCAAGCCCUAGCCCACCACCACCACCAAGUGGAACACCGUGUCCUCCGCCGCCGCCACCAACUUGUCCCAUUGAUACUCUCAAGCUUGGUGCAUGCGUCGACGUGUUGGGUGGUCUAGUACACAUCGGUAUAGGCAGCAGUGCAAAGGACGCUUGCUGCCCCGUGCUGCAGGGGCUAC
rnacentral:lncRNA from 1 species